UACGUAGGGUGCAAGCGUUGUCCGGAAUUAUUGGGCGUAAAGAGCUCGUAGGCGGUUUGUUGCGUCGGCUGUGAAAUCCCGAGGCUCAACCUCGGGUCUGCAGUCGAUACGAGCAAACUAGAGUGUUGCAGGGGAGACUGGAAUUCCUGGUGUAGCGGUGAAAUGCGCAGAUAUCGAGAGGAACACCUGCGGCGAAGGCAGCUCGCUGGAACGGUACUGACGCUGAGGCGACGAAAGCGUGGGGAGCAAACAGG
rnacentral:rRNA from 1 species